UUCCAUCAACUCCCCCCGUUCCCCUCCUCCCCUUUCCAUUUUACCUUCUCGCCCGUCCCCGAAUUCUUCCACCUCCCAUCCCGUGCAGCCGGCCUCACCGCCGGCGACGGGACGCGGAGACCCGGGCUGCCGGUACCGUCAGCCGUGCUCCUUCCUCUCUUCGUCGCCCCCGCCAAAACCUUCAUCUGCCGGGGCUGCACCGGCGGCGCGGGGACAACAAAAGCUCGAGAUCCGGUGACUGAUCUCUUCGUUCCUCGGUUCACUUUGAUAUUCCAACAAAGGUCACAUUGCUAGACUCCCAGAUUGGUUCCUAACAAUGAGGGCACAUGAACGAGCUGCCAGUUUGGCUCUUGCCUGUCUGAGCUUGGCUCCACUUCUGGUUA